UUGGCAUGAUGAGGAAAUUCAUUGAAUAACUGAUCUACUGGAUGAGAAAUUCCUCCUACUCAUUCUGA
rnacentral:snoRNA from 1 species